rnacentral:rRNA from 1 species
ACGGGGGCCCGGCGACAAGCGGUGGAGCAUGUGGUUUAAUUCGUAAGCAACGACGAAGAACCUUACCAGGCCUUGACAUGCAGAGAACUUUCCAGAGAUGGAUUGGUGCCUUCGGGAACGUCUGACACAGGUGCUGCAUGGCUGUCGUCAGCUCGUGUCGUGAGAUGUUGGGUUAAGUCCCGCAACGAGCGCAACCCUUGCCUUUAGUUGCCAGCAGUUCGGCUGGGCACUCUAAAGGGACUGCCGGUGUUAAACCGGAGGAAGGUGGGGAUGACGUCAAGUCCUCAUGGCCUUUAUGACCAGGGCUACACACGUACUACAAUGGCCGAUACAAAGGGCAGCGACACUGCGAGGUGAAGCCAAUCCCGUAAAAUCGGUCUCAGUCCGGAUUGGAGUCUGCAACUCGACUCCAUGAAGUUGGAAUCGCUAGUAAUCGUGGAUCAGCAUGCCACGGUGAAUACGUUCCCGGGCCUU